AAAAAGACAAACCCUGGGUUUCUGUGUCCAACAUUUGACUGUCUGUCUUAUAUGAUUUUUUUUAAUAAUUAGUAUUUUCAUUGUUGUUAGAUGACAAAACAUGAUUAAUACUUUAUGCAUGACUUGUCCUUUUAAUUUUUUUUAUAUUUUUUUAAAUAAGACGGACGGUCAAACGUUUGACACGGAAAGUCAGGGUU
rnacentral:pre_miRNA from 1 species